rnacentral:rRNA from 1 species
UACGGGGGGGGCAAGCGUUGUUCGGAAUUACUGGGCGUAAAGGGUUCGUAGGUGGCCAAUUAAGUCAGACGUGAAAUCCCUCGGCUUAACCGGGGAACUGCGUCUGAUACUGGAUGGCUUGAGUUCGGGAGAGGGAUGCGGAAUUCCAGGUGUAGCGGUGAAAUGCGUAGAUAUCUGGAGGAACACCGGUGGCGAAGGCGGCAUCCUGGACCGAUACUGACGCUGAGGAGCGAAAGCCAGGGGAGCAAACGGG